GAUGAACGCUAGCGACAGGCUUAACACAUGGCAAGUCGAGGGGCAGCGGGGAUGAAGCUUGCUUUAUCUGCCGGCGACCGGCGCACGGGUGAGUAACACGUAUGCAACCUACCCUAUGCAGGGGGAAUAACCACGGGAAACCCGUGCCUAAUACCGCAUAACGUAUCAUGAUGGCAUCAUCGAGAUACCAAAGGAGCAAUCCGCUGAAAGAUGGGCUCGCGUCCGAUUAGCUAGUUGGUGGGGUUAACGGCCCACCAAGGCGACGAUCGGUAGCCGAACUGAGAGGUUGAUCGGCCGCAUUGGGACUGAGACACGGCCCAGACUCCUACGGGAGGCAGCAGUGGGGGAUAUUGCACAAUGGGGGAAACCCUGAUGCAGCAACGCCGCGUGAGGGAAGAAGGUCUUCGGAUUGUAAACCUAAGUUGUCAGGGACGAACAAAUGACGGUACCUGAAAAGAAAGCUCCGGCUAACUACGUG
rnacentral:rRNA from 1 species